UUUAAAUAACAUGGUAUCAUUUGCGCCAAAAAUAAAACAUACGAUUGCGUCAAUUAGAAGAAAAAUGACUUUUCUACUCCUUUAUUCGGAUUAGAACCGGCAGCUUACAUGGCAAAUGUUUCCUUUUCUGGAACAUAUCUUCUUCUUACUGCUGAUACAUUGGUACUUCCCAAUUUAAUGUAUCUAGUAGCUUGUAACUUCACUUCAUUGUCCAAAAACACAAACAUUAAAGGAUGAUAUAUGCAUAAAACAGUUCAUAUUAAUUCCUUAUAAUAAUAAAGCCCAUACGCAUGGUGGGAACAAAGCACUGUGUCAUCAACAUAUGUGGCUAAAUCAUAAUCAGCAAAAGCUUCUCUGUU
rnacentral:lncRNA from 1 species